rnacentral:tRNA from 1 species
GCCUCGGUGGUGUAGUGGUCCAGCAUACAGGCCUGUCGAGUCUGCGACCCGGGUUCGAAAGUUUUGCUCAGAAAAAUUAGGGCAAAACCGCAAAUCCCGGCCGAGGCG